CUUGGUUUUUUUCUUGUUUUUUUUCUUCCAGCAUUUUUUUGGCAAGCCCUCCUACAGCUUCUAUUGCAGUUAUCAAUACCAAAUUUGAACCAUCGAUAGACCUCAUCAUGAAAUUGUACCAGAUGAACUUUUGUAGGAUAUCAUCAUCCCCUUGAGAAGUUAUCUCCGUUAUAUUGAUUUUUUUCAACAUGCCCCCUCCCCCUCGUUGUUUUUAAAGAUAUCAUGACUUUAUUUGGACAAUAGGUAGAUCUAAUCAUGAUGUAUUACCAUAUGAGGCUGCAAAGGAUUUCAUCAUCCCCUAUGAGAGUUAUAUCCCCUUGAAACAAUUUCUUUCCUUUGCAUUUUUCUCAAAAAAGUAUAAGAAAUAGAAUUGAUUUGAAAACGGCAACAUGUACAGGAACAGAUGGCAAUGUUAAUAAAC
rnacentral:lncRNA from 1 species